UUUUGAAAGGAAUGAAAGAUGGGGUUUUUGUAGGGUGUACUGUUAGGUUUUAUCAUUAAUCAAGUUAUUGUGCACUAUUUGUUAUGGCCAAGAUUCUUAAGCCCCAUUAAAUUAUUAUAAUGAAUAAAGAAUGUUUUUAAUUAUGAUUUUUCACAAUUUUACAACAAGAUUCAAUAUACACGAGUGCUCAUGAAACUUAUCCUUAGCCGCG
rnacentral:lncRNA from 1 species